AAUCCGUUUUUGAAAUCAAUUCCUUGUCUAUAUCCCCAAGACUCAUAAAGGUCGAUAUCCUCAAACCCAAUAACUCCAAUAAGUGGUGGGACUCACUCGACGUAUUUAACAUGGCGCAACUGAAUCCUUCUAAUGAAUUUAUGCAGUCUUCAGGAGAUGACGGGAAUUGAUCGUUGUUCUUUAUGAUAUUUUUAAAACAUUCAAGCGCAUCUGGCAUUAGGCUGGCGUCUUCAAUUACGGAUUCUUUAACAGUUGAUAGGUACUGAA